UUCUCGUGGCUCAGUUGGUAAAGAAUCUGCCUGCAAUGCAGGAGACCCAGGUUCAAUCCCUGGGUGAGGAA
rnacentral:tRNA from 1 species